rnacentral:lncRNA from 1 species
CGGCGCCAUUUUGUCUCGGCAGCGGUGGCCGUAGCUCCAUCGCAUUUUAUGUUUCUGGCGAGAAGGGAACGGAGUUUUCAUCAGGUAGAUUGGUUUUUGUGCGGCCGUCCUCCACCGUUUCCUCCAGGACAGCACCUAGUCGUGGCCGGAGGAGUCUCAGAGCUGUCAGAAAGAAUAAGACUGAUUUUAUGGGAAAAUUAAGCAGAUGCUCCAGUUUGAGAAACCUGGAUCUGCGAUCUGUUUGUGGUACCAGCAUCAAGAUGAUUUAUGGUAAUAAGGUACUCAGUCUUUGCUUAAAAUAAAUUUUACGUUUAUCAAAGUAAAAUUUACCAGCUUUUUUUCCUAAAGAGGCUAGUCAUAUCUCAUCAGUGGUUACAAAGUAUCCUUACAAUUGAACCUACAUUUGUUAAUCCUGUUCAGUGUGUAUGAAAAUCACUUGGUGGCCGGGCAUGGUGGCUCACGCCUGUAAUCCCAGCACUUUGGGAGGCCAAGGCGGGCAGAUCACAAGGUCAGGAGUUCGAGACCAGCCUGGCUAAUAUAGUGAAACCCCAUUUCUACUAAAAAUGCAAACAUUAGUCAGGCAUGGUGGCAGGUGCCUGUAGUCCCAGCUACUUGGGAGGCUGAGGCAGGAGACUCUCUUCAACCCGUGAGGCAGAGGUUGCAGUGAGUCGAGAUCAUGUCACUGCACUUCAGCUUAAGCAACAGAGCGAGACUCCAUCUCAAAAAAAGAAAAGCACGUCACUCGAUGUUCUUUCUUUCAUAAGAGUUGAAGAACUAGGUAUAUCUGCUUAUAUUAUGGCAUCUAUAGUAGCUUAGCUGCUCAUAUUUGGGUCUCUUUAGAACCAGUGUCUUUCAAAGAGGGUUUUAACUAUGCUGGUGUAAAUUUUAAGAAUAGAUACAUUCAAAGAAGAAUUCAACAUUCAUGUGACAUUCAUACUUUGGAACUUUGGGAAAGUAUAGGAAUGACCAUAGAUUGGCUUAGGGAUAGUCAAUUUACCUGUCUGUAAAUGGAUCCAAUUUAGUAUUGUUCCUGUAUUUUUCUAAGACCAACACUUGUGUCAUUCACAGUUAAAUAUAUGAGUUGUGGCCAGGCCCGGUGGCUCAUGCCUGUAAUUUCAGCAUUUUAGGAGGCUGAGGUGAACAGAUUGCUCAAGUCCAGGAGUUCAAGACCAGCCUGGGCAACAUAGUGAGAUGCGGUCUCUACAAAAAAUUUUUAAAAGUUAGCCAAGCAUGGUGGUGCUUGCCUGUGGUCCCAGCUACUUGGGAGGCUGAGGUGGGAGGAUUGCUUGAGCCAUAUGCUCUAAUAUAUUUUAAAAUACAUAUUUUAAAUAUAUUUUGAGUGGUAAAAUGUAGCAGAUAAUGUUACAUAAAAGAAGCCAUGGUAAUGACAUGACAUUACUGGUUUUGAGUUGUUUGUGUAGUAGUUAGCUAUUAAUACUCAGGUAUAAUGAUUUGCUAUUUAAACUACACAAAUGCUCAAAGUCCAGCGAUACCCUGCACCCAAAUUCAGUGGCUAGAUUACCUUCUUAGGAAAGCACAACACUUCAAUGGAGUGACACUGGCAUGAGUCCACUAGAGGGUGUGUAUACAUGGCCUGAGUUCAAAUUGUUCCUGCUGUGAGUACUGCUUUUCAGCUUCAAGUUAUUCUUAUCGGCCACAGUACUGUUUAUUCCACUUAGUAACAGUUCUGUUUACAGAGCACUUUAACAUAAAUUCUGAUUUUUAACAUGAAAGCUGUCUGAUGUUGGUAUUUUUAUUUUAAUCUUUAGAGAUCAAGAAAUUUUUUUAGUGACAGAAUAGGGACUUUAUUGAUCCUUAAAUCCGCCCCUCACCACAAUAAAGGAAAAAAGCAAAAACAUCCUUGACUCAUGUAUUGAAGGGUCUUUUUUGAGAAGGGUCAGUUUUUGAAAAAUUAUCCAAAACUGAAACAUCUGUCAUCUGUAUCACAUCUAAAGAUUAACAGUGACUGAUGACCACCAGUUACUUCAUAUGAAAGUGGGAAACCGUAUCAGUUAUUUGUCCACUAAGUUGGUAGGUGCUUUUUGUACAAAAGCCCAGGAGAAUAUGAUCUGUAAAUUCUAGUUGAGUGAUGAAGAUGGGGCUUUGAAUUAAUCUACAGUCUUGGAAUUAAUUCUGCAGCAUUUUAACCAGGGAAUUUUUCAGUAGUCAUAAAUCUAUAUUUUAAUACUGAGUAAAUGUCCUCAUUUACCCCCACCAAUUUUGUAAAGCAGAUAUUAACCAAACUUCAAUAGUUAUAAGACAAAAAUUUAAUGAAAAUUGGACAGUAUGUAUAAUCCAGGGCUAAAUAGUUACAUUGGACUGGAGUAGAAAUUUAAAAUACAAUAGAUGCUGGAGUAAAUGUUACAUAUUAUCAUCAUCUGAUUCAUCUUCUUCCUUCAGAGAUUCCUGUUAAGAGAAAACAGGUGUUUAAAAUUGAUUUUUAAAAUUGUUAUAUCCCACACCUGUGGGCAAGUUAAGCUACAACAACCUGAAUUAAGUGGUUAAAUUCCUCUACUUGUAACUGAAUGAACAGUUUCAGAAUAAGAUACCCAAGCAAAGUUAAUUAAGCAAAUGUUGCUCUAACAUGCAAUGACUGUAUCUUUGAUAGAAUAUAUACUUAAGAGGCCUGGUGCAGUGUUCAUGCCUGUAAUCCCAGCACUUUACGGGGGCCAAAGUAGGCAGAUCACGUGAGUUCAAGAGUUUGAAACUAGCCUGGUGAAAACCCGUCUCUGUAUUAUUGGUGAAGCCAAAAAUACAAAAGUAGCCAGGUAUGGUGGCAUGUUCCUGUAAUCCCAGCUACUUGGGAGGCGGAGGCAGGAGGAUCGCUUGAACCCUGGAGGCAGAGGUUGCAGUGAGCAGAGAUGGUGCCACUGCCCUCCAGCCUGGGUGACAGAGCAAGACUCCGUCUCAAAAAAAAAAAAAAAAAAAAGAACAAAUAUUUAAAGUAUUAAAAGUCCUAAAAAACUCUUUGCAGUCUAAACCUCCCAAGUUUUUUUUUUUUGGAACCAAGGCAACUUUACCCACUAGAGAUAACCUAGAAAAUUUCUAUCUUUAGUUCAACUGAACUCUCAGUGUUAUUUCAUAGAAACCACCCCAGUCUAUUUAUAUUAUUCAACACAUAAUUUUGGUUAGAGAAUUUUUUUUUUUUUAAAUUAGGGAUGGGGGUCUUGCUGUGCUGCUCAGGCUGGUCUCAAACUCCUGGGCUAAGUGAUUCCCUGACUGUACCUGGCCAAGAGAAGUUUUUGUGCUGUGGCUUACCUUAGCAUAUUUCUCUGCUUCUUCUCUUAUAUCUUUUGGAACAAUUUCAUGUCUUCCAUUAGUUACUGUAAAUUAAGCCACAUGUGUAAAUGAAUUUUAAAUUGAGUACCAUAUUGUAACUUGCAGUAUACCAUAGGAUCUACCCAAUCCACAUAUCUGACUCACCUAAGGUUGCAAAGUUGUACUAUGAGUAAUACUCGAAUAUUUUUGUGUGCUGCUUCUACAUGAGAUUAUAUGUGCCUACAUAUUAAGUUCUUAUGGAAAUGAAAGUAAAUUAUGCUAUUUAUAAAUCCUGAGCAUUAAUUUAUAGCAUAGUAUCUUAAAACCAUGAAAUGGAUGUUUCAAAAAAUAACGUGUUCACAACUUAAGUCAAUUAUUAAGCAGAACUUUCCCUUCAUUAGACAACCUAGUAAAUUUGCUUUAGCUUUCAUUAUAUUAGAAAGGACACUCAGUUGUAAAUUAGCUGUGGUACAGAUCAUUCCUAAGGCAAAUAAAUGUACAAAAAUAACUUACAUUCACCAACCCAGCUGAGUUCUAGUUCAAAAGCUUUAUCCUUAACUUCGUCAUGUACUAUGUAAAUUCUAGAAUAGAAAAGGGAAAGGUAAGAUUUUGGUAACCUCCAAACAUUGAAGUAGUUCACAGACCCAAAGUCAGUACAAAUUAGAAUGUCCAUCCAUAAUAAAAGUAUCUAUAAAAUUACACAGACACAUUCUACAUAGUAUUUAACAUUAGAGAAGACAAAUUACACAGGGACUGAAAUAAAAUGAAACAUCUACUCUCCCGACAAAUGUUGAAUAUACCUAAUCAACCCAAGUUCAGUUUAUUUUUGCACAUUGCUUUAGAGAUAUAACUUGGCUGGGCACAGUGGCUCACACCUGUAAUCCCAACACUUUGGGAGACCAAGGCGGAUGGAUCACUUGAGGUCAGUUCGAGACUAGCCUGGCCAACAUGGUGAAACCCUGUCUCUACUAAGAAACAAAAAUCAGCCAGGUGUGGUGGUGGGCGCCUGUAAUCUCAGCUACUCAGGAGGCUAAGGCAGGAGAAUUCCUUGAACCCGGGAGGCAGGGGUUGCAGUGAGCCAAGAUCACACUACUGCACUCCAUCCUGGGCUACAGUAGAGCGAGACUCCAUCUCAGAAAAAAAAAAAGAUACAACUAUAAAAGAUACCUCAUAAAGAACACGGAUUCACUAGGAAGAGGCGUCAUUAACUGUGCCCUUUUAGAAUAUUUUGUCCAUUAACUUAAAUAUAUUUAAAACCAACUAAUUGGCUGGACAUGGUGGCUCGUGCCUGUAAUCCUAGCACUUUGGGGAGGCAGAGGCGGGUGGAUCAUGAGGUCAGGAGUUCGAGACCAUCCUGGCCAACAUGGUGAACCCACGUCUCUACUAAAAAUACAAAAAUUAGCCAGGUGAGGUGGCCAUAGGCCUGUAGUCCCAACUACUCGGGAAACUGAGGCAGGAGACUUGCUUGAACCCAGGAGGUAGGGGCUGCAGUGAGCUGAGAUCACGACACUGCACUCCAGCCUGGGCAACAGAGUGAGACUCUGUUUCAAAAAAAUAAAAAAAAAAAAACUAAUUUAUGUGCUUGCAAUUAUUAGUGGUCUCUUCAACCUAUAGCUUCUUGGCAGUAGUCUUUUUAAGCUCCUUGUCCAUUUUAUAAUGGCAUAUAUGCCACAUAACCUGGCCUUCACAUUGUAGUACCUUACAAAUUACAGCAAAGAAGGAGGCACUGUCAUGCAACAUAUUAAAGUAACAUAAAAAGUAUCAAGAGGCCAGGUGCGGUGGUUCACAUCUGUAAUCCCAGCACUUUGGGAGGCCAAGGUGGGUGGAUCACAAGGUCAGGAGUUCAAGACCAGCCUGGCCAAGAUGGUAAAGCCUGUCUCUACUAAAAAUACAAAAAUUAGCCAGGUGUGGUGGUGGGCGCCUGUAAUCCCAGCUACUUGAGAGGCUGAUGCAGGAGAAUUGCUUGAACACGGGAGGCGGAGGUUGCAGUGAGCCAAGAUCGUGCCACUGCCCUCCAGUCUGGACGACAGAGUGAGACUCCAUCUCAAAAAAAAAAAAGUAUCAAAUUAAGUACAGUAGCAGAGUAUAGCUUUAUCUAAUACUAUGCACUGAGUUACAUACCUUACUUUUUGGAGGGUCUUCUAAAACCUUGCUAUAAUAUGAGAGGAUCUUGAUUUUCUACAACUAAGUAAAAGAUAACAUGCUGCUCCAUUUUCUUAAAUGAUGAAGGGAUGGCUUUCCUAACAUGGAACACUUAACAGAUGACUACCAUUAUACCUAAAUAUAAAAGAUGGUAAGAACUGAUUUCCAGAAGGACUUCAAAGGAUUGGUUCGGUGAAGGAAACAGAGUAUAUCAUGAUAACAUACUAUACAAUUCAAGGAAGAUAUCUGACUUCCUUUCUUAGCAGCUCUGCUGCAUGUUGGUUCCUAGUGUUGCCAUUAUUAACUGACAAUCAUAGAAUGGCUUCUGCUUGCUUCACAACUGAAACUAGGAGGGCGGAGGGGAGGAGGUGGCAAGAGGGGUAAAGGCAGUAGCAGUAAUGAUGGACCGGUUAAUAAGAGACUCUGAGUGUGAUGUAAAUAGUAUGUUUAUUAAACAAUAGAGCCCAUUGGAAUUUUUUUCUUCCACGUAUUGUUAGAUGUAAAACCUGAUACACUACCAUACAGACAGGUGAUUGACUAGACCUUGUUUAUGUAGUUCUAAUGUGGAAUACUUAGAGUUGUUAUGAAUUACGAUUAUCCAUAACUUUUGAAUCUAAAAAGCUGGCUACACAACGUAUUUUGUUGGAAUCUUUUUGUAAUACCAAAUGUCUACACUCUUUGAUCUAGAGAAUCACAAAAUUUUAGAAACAUCACUACCCAGGUUAAUUGACUUUUUUAUUGUUUACUGUCCAAAUACCUGUUACAUAUUAAUAGUAUUCUACUUUAUAUACCUGUAAUAAACUAUUCAGGGUUUCUUAAGCUGGUUGUUGAAAUGUUUUGUAAUACUGCUCUUCUUACCUUGUUAUAGGAACUUUUAUAAUAAACCUGAAAAAGUGAAACAUAUCUUUCCCAAAUAAAUAGCAGAUUAUAUAAAUGAGCCAGCUUCAUGGAUCAUGUAUUGAAAUAAUUAGUUGUAACCUAUAAAGUUUGUAAGCAUUCUUACAAUAGAGGCAAUCUUAAGAUUACUAUUAUUAGGACUUAAGAGAUUUGAGAAGUUGGGAGCUAACAAAUUAAGACCCUAAUGGUAUAUGUCCUUAACCUGUAACAGGAGUUUAUUUUGUCAAGCUAUUUUUCCCAUCCUAUUCAUUACUACUAAAAAAUAUUGCUUAAAAACAUUUUCUUCCUUCGUGAGGCUUCUUAGAAUGUUAAAUUUACCUUCUAAAAAUUAUACACUAAGUUAUUUUACAGGAAAACAGCUUCUUAGGAUUAAUGUAAUAUAUAUAUGCAAAGGUCAAAUGAAAUAUUUUUGUGGAUGGUAAGAAAAAUUUCAACUUACAUUUUUGCAACUUCUUUAACGAUAUCACGGCAGGUCAUUUCUUUCAUCUAUAGAAAAUAAAAUGUAUACUGUUCAUCAGAAGAACAUUUUCCACUUGUGUAAUAACUAUUUUCACUUUUAUACUCAGAUAUAAAACCAAGGAAAAUAACCUAAAGUCUGAAAAAGACCAGAAUCGAAGUUUCCUGAUUCAUAUUUUAAUGUUUUGAAAUUUAUACUCCAGGCUGGGUGCAGUGGCUUGUGCCUGUAAUCCCAGCACUUUGGGAGGCCGAGGCGGCCGGAUUGCCUGAAGUCAGAAGUUCGAGACCAGCCUGACCAACAUGGUGAAACCCUGUCUCUACUUAAAAAUACAAAAGAGCUGGGCAUGGAGGUGGUGCGCGCCUGUAACCCUAGCUACUCGGGAGGCUGAGGCCUAAGAAUCUCUUGAACCCAGGAGGCAGAGGUUGUAGUGAGCCGGGAUCACGCCACUGCACUCUAGCCUGGGCGACAGAGAGAGAGACUGUCUAAAAAAGGAAAAGAAAAAAAUUUAUACGCCAAAAAAGAUAUUCUGAGAUAACCUGUAGUUACCACUAACUUUGUGACAAAAUUAUAAAAAUCCACAGCCAUCUAUGAAUCUGUAGGCAGACCUGAAGUUUGAACGACUGGUGAAGACAUCUGAUUUUCUUUAUAGCCAAGUUAGGAUAACAAAAUGCAAACAAGUCAUUAAUAUUUACUAUAUGCAAGAUACAGAAAGAUGAAGGAAGGAGUAAGAAGUUAUCCUUCGUGGAACUAUUCAAAGCAAAAAUGCAAAAUACCAGGGAAAGCUUUGAAGAACCAAGAUUUGAGCAGGUUCUUAGAAUAUAGAUUGGAUUGGAUUUGAUUUCAAGAAAGAUGAACGUGUAAAGCAGAAGUGGGAAGCCAAAAACUUUUUUCCAAAUUAGAAUUAAGCAUUCUUUCAAUGAACAUUUGGAAAUCAAGGUAGAAAAAUAUCCCUAGGGCCUAGCUGAGGAGUCUGUAUGUUGUUGGGUUUUGAUAGUAACCAGUCCAAGAUUUUGUUAUUAGACGUGGGUUUCUGAAUAGACAGGCAUUUCUGAACAGACAUGACAGGAUCAAAACAAUGUUUGAGCAAACUGCCCUUCAUCUACUGUGGAUAUGUUGGGGGAUGAUGGAAUAUAGUGAAAGAUAAUGGGUGCUCAUACAGCAGUCUAGACUUAAGGUGAUUCAACUACUAUAUAUUAAACUAGAUUAUCUUUUAUUUUUUAAUUUUGAAAUCUGGAUGCUCAAGCUCUGCCUGCACAACCACAUGAGGAAGAAGGAACAAUGACAACAAAAAUAACACUAAAUUUAAAUUUAAGAGUACUACUUUUAGGAAAUAGACAAACCAUUAUUUGGGUACAACUAAAGGCAACUGGCAUGGACUCAAAUAUUUUGGGGAAGAAAAAGACUAAAAGUUCUAAGGAAGAAAAUGCGAACCUUGAUAGUUUGAAAUAGUUAAAAAGACAGUGUAGAAACUGCUUAGGCAGUUUGAUUAUGGACUAUUAGAUGAUACUUGGGUCUGAUAAUGGUAUAAGGAGAAUAAAGUAUUUAGGGAUCCAAUAUUACGCCUGCAGCUUUUUCCAAAUAGUUCAUGGGGGAGGGGGAUGUGUAAGUGGUUAACUGAAGUCUAACUAGAUAGGUUUGUUGUAAGCUUAGGAUGUUUACAGUUCUUCAUGUUAAGUUGAGCGUGAUGGGAAGGGAAAGAAUGCUGAUCUUUAAAUUUUUGUCCUUAGUUAAGUUCUGUAUUUAGUGAAUUAAUUGCAUCCUAAAAAGUCAAACUUGAAAAGCACAUUUUAAAUGGCAAAUCUAUUUUUUACAUGUUUGUGAAGUUUUUAUUUUUUAGUAAACAGACCAUCAGAAGAGAACAAUGGUACAGAGCAGGGGUCAGCAGAUGGAUUUUGUAAAGCAUCAACUUGUAAAUAUUUUCAAGUUUAUUAGCUGUAUGGCUCUGGUUUCUGUUCCCUGUUCCAAAUGUUAAAGUCUACUGUUGUAUUCUAAAAGCAGCCAUGGACUGAAUGUAGCUGUGUUCCAAUAAAACUUACACAAAAGCAGGCAGUGGGCCAUAAUUUGCAACACCUGAUUCACAGCAUAAUUUUGUCACAAACUGAAAGUGUUCCUCAAUUAAAGUGAUUUUUUUUUCUUGAUUUUUCUCUGGGAUUUAUUGUUUUUCCCAUUCCUUGCUAGGAUUUAACUACAGAAAGACAGAUAGUAACUGCUCUAAAUAUUCUAAUUUCCUUUAUUUUUUUGAGAUAAGGUGUCGCUCUGUUGCCCUGGCUGGAGUGCAGUGGCGUGAUCAUAGCUCACUGUAGCC